GUAGGUGAACCUGCGGAAGGAUCAUUACAAAUCGAGGUGGUGGUUGGGUUAGUUGGGUUAGUUGGGUUAGUUGAGGUAGAUUUGAAGAGUCUAUUUCGAUGAUCUCUACUCUACACCUGCUCCAUACAUUAGCACGAGGGUGGAGAGUGGGAUUUGGUUUAAAAGCUGACCUUCAUAUCCACCCCCAUGUUUACGCAUGAUUGUUUGACAGAGUUAAGAUUUAUUAUAACGAAUACAACUUUUAACAACG
rnacentral:misc_RNA from 1 species